AGAGUUUGAUCAUGGCUCAGAACGAACGCUGGCGGCGUGCUUAACACAUGCAAGUCGAACGCGAAAGCUUUCUUCGGAAAGCGAGUAGAGUGGCGCACGGGUGAGUAACGCGUAAGUAAUCUACCCUGGCAUCUGGGAUAACCCACCGAAAGGUGUGCUAAUACCGGAUACGUUGGAAACAAGAAAGGUGGCCUCUAUUUAUAAGCUACUGUGCUGGGAGGAGCUUGCGUACCAUUAGCUAGUUGGUAGGGUAAUGGCCUACCAAGGCAACGAUGGUUAGCGGGUCUGAGAGGAUGAUCCGCCACACUGGAACUGGAACACGGACCAGACUCCUACGGGAGGCAGCAGUGAGGAAUAUUGCGCAAUGGGGGCAACCCUGACGCAGCGACGCCGCGUGGAUGAUGAAGGCCUUCGGGUCGUAAAAUCCUGUCAGAUGGAAAGAAAUGCACAUAUGCUAAUAUCAUUUGUGUUUGACGGUACCAUCAAAGGAAGCACCGGCUAACUCCGUGCCAGCAGCCGCGGUAAUACGGAGGGUGCAAGCGUUGUUCGGAAUUACUGGGCGUAAAGCGCGCGUAGGCGGCCAAUUAAGUCAGAUGUGAAAGUCCACGGCUCAACCGUGGAAGUGCAUUUGAAACUGGCUGGCUUGAGUACUGGAGGGGGUGGUGGAAUUCCCGGUGUAGAGGUGAAAUUCGUAGAUAUCGGGAGGAAUACCGGUGGCGAAGGCGACCACCUGGCCAGAUACUGACGCUGAGGUGCGAAAGCGUGGGGAGCAAACAGGAUUAGAUACCCUGGUAGUCCACGCCGUAAACGAUGUCAACUAGGUGUUGGGGGAGGUUAAUCUUCUCAUUGCCGUAGCUAACGCAUUAAAGUUGACCGCCCUGGGGGAGUACGGUCGCAGAUUAAACUCAAAUGAAUUGACGG
rnacentral:rRNA from 1 species